rnacentral:rRNA from 1 species
UACGGGGGGGGCAAGCGUUGUUCGGAAUUACUGGGCGUAAAGGGCGUGUAGGCGGCCAACUAAGUCCGACGUGAAAUCCCCAGGCUUAACCUGGGAACUGCGUCGGAUACUGGAUGGCUUGAAUCCGGGAGAGGGAUGCGGAAUUCCAGGUGUAGCGGUGAAAUGCGCAGAUAUCAGGAGGAACACCAAUGGCGAAGGCAGCUCGCUGGGACGGUACUGACACUGAGACGCGAAAGCGUGGGGAGCGAACCGG